rnacentral:rRNA from 1 species
UACGAAGGGGGCUAGCGUUGUUCGGAAUCACUGGGCGUAAAGCGCACGCAGGCGGCUUGAUAAGUCCGGGGUGAAAUCCCGGGGCUCAACCUCGGAAUUGCCUUUGAUACUGUCUGUCUUGAGUCCGGGAGAGGUGAGUGGAAUUCCUAGUGUAGAGGUGAAAUUCGUAGAUAUUAGGAAGAACACCAGUGGCGAAGGCGGCUCACUGGCCCGGUACUGACGCUCAUGUGCGAAAGCGUGGGGAGCAAACAGG